UAGGGAAUUUUCCGCAAUGGGGGAAACCCUGACGGAGCAACGCCGCGUGAGGGAAGAAGGUCUUCGGAUCGUAAACCUUUGUCAUCGAGGACGAUCAUGACGGUACUCGAGGAGGAAGCCCCGGCUAACUACGUGCCAGCAGCCGCGGUAACACGUAGGGGGCGAGCGUUGUCCGGAAUUACUGGGCGUAAAGGGCGCGUAGGCGGCCUAAUAAGUCAGAUGUGAAACCCCCGGGCUUAACCCUGGGCUUGCAUUUGAAACUGUUGGGCUUGAGGACAGGAGAGGAAAGCGGAAUUCCCAGUGUAGCGGUGAAAUGCGUAGAUAUUGGGAGGAACACCAGUGGCGAAGGCGGCUUUCUGGACUGUAACUGACGCUGAGGCGCGAAAGCCAGGGUAGCGAACGGG
rnacentral:rRNA from 1 species